GACGAACGCUGGCGGCGUGCUUAACACAUGCAAGUCGAGCGGUAAGGCCCUUUCGGGGGUACACGAGCGGCGAACGGGUGAGUAACACGUGGGUGACCUGCCCUCAGCUCUGGGAUAAGCCUGGGAAACCGGGUCUAAUACUGGAUAUGACUCCAUGACGCAUGUUGUGGGGUGGAAAGCCUUGUGCGGCUGAGGAUGGGCCCGCGGCCUAUCAGCUUGUUGGUGAGGUGAUGGCCUACCAAGGCGACGACGGGUAGCCGGCCUGAGAGGGCGACCGGCCACACUGGGACUGAGACACGGCCCAGACUCCUACGGGAGGCAGCAGUGGGGAUCUUGCGCAAUGGGCGAAAGCCUGACGCAGCGACGCCGCGUGAGGGAUGACGGCCUCGG
rnacentral:rRNA from 1 species